rnacentral:rRNA from 1 species
CACUUCGCUGACGAGUGGCGGACGGGUGAGUAAUGCUUGGGAACUUGCCUUUGCGAGGGGGAUAACAGUUGGAAACGACUGCUAAUACCGCAUAACGUCUACGGACCAAACGGGGCUUAGGCUCCGGCGCAAAGAGAGGCCCAAGUGAGAUUAGCUAGUUGGUAAGGUAAAGGCUUACCAAGGCAACGAUCUCUAGCUGUUCUGAGAGGAAGAUCAGCCACACUGGAACUGAGACACGGUCCAGACUCCUACGGGAGGCAGCAGUGGGGAAUAUUGCACAAUGGGGGAAACCCUGAUGCAGCCAUGCCGCGUGUGUGAAGAAGGCCUUCGGGUUGUAAAGCACUUUCAGUUGUGAGGAAAAGUUAGUAGUUAAUACCUGCUAGCCGUGACGUUAACAACAGAAGAAGCACCGGCUAACUCCGUGCCAGCAGCCGCGGUAAUACGGAGGGUGCGAGCGUUAAUCGGAAUUACUGGGCGUAAAGCGCACGCAGGCGGUUUGUUAAGCUAGAUGUGAAAGCCCCGGGCUCAACCUGGGAUGGUCAUUUAGAACUGGCAGACUAGAGUCUUGGAGAGGGGAGUGGAAUUCCAGGUGUAGCGGU